rnacentral:rRNA from 1 species
UGAGGAAUUUUGCGCAAUGGGGGAAACCCUGACGCAGCAACGCCGCGUGAGUGAUGAAGGCCUUCGGGUCGUAAAGCUCUGUCAAGCGGGAAGAAAUUCCCUAAGGCAAAUAGUCUUGGGGAUUGACGGUACCGUUGAAGGAAGCACCGGCUAACUCCGUGCCAGCAGCCGCGGUAAUACGGAGGGUGCAAGCGUUAUUCGGAAUCAUUGGGUGUAAAGCGCGUGUAGGCGGCUCGGUAAGUCAGAUGUGAAAGCUCAAGGCUUAACCUUGAAAGUGCAUUUGAUACUGCCGGGCUUGAGUCCGGGAGAGGAAGGUGGAAUUCCCAGUGUAGAGGUGAAAUUCGUAGAUAUUGGGAGGAACACCGGUGGCGAAGGCGACCUUCUGGACCGAGACUGACGCUGAGACGCGAAAGCGUGGGGAGCAAACA